UGCUCGUGUCUAAGUUGAUAUUUUGACAUUGCAUGACAUAGGUGCCUAGAGAUGGCUUCCUCCCAUUCUCCUCGUUCUGCCUCCGGCGCCACCGCCGUCAUGGCCGUGCUGUUUGUGGCGGCCCUGUGCCUGCACGGCGCCAUGGCGCAACCGCUGCGCGAGGACUACUACGACGGCACGUGCCCUGACGCCUAUAACAUCGUGAAGCAGGUGCUCAUCGACGCGCACGAGUCGGACGAGCGCAUCUACGCCAGCCUCAUCCGCCUCCACUUCCACGAUUGCUUCGUCCAAGUAACCUUCCUCUUCUCUCUGCUAGGCCGCCAUGCCCGUGCCCGUGCCCAUGCGUGAUCAUGCAGCAUUCACGAUGCAUUAUUGUUUCAUUGGUGAGUGUGGUGAUGACCGUUUAUUGUUCAUAGGGCUGCGACGGGUCGAUUCUGCUGGACAACAUGACAGGGAUGCAGUCCGAGAAGGAGUCACCGCCCAACAACGGCUCGGCGCGCGGGUACGAGGUGGUGGACGCCGUCAAGUGCGCGCUGGAGGACGCCUGCCCUGGCGUCGUCUCCUGCGCCGACAUCCUCGCUAUCGCCGCGGAGAUCUCCGUCGAGCUGGUACGUACCCGCGGCUGCCUAGAUACAACCUAGCUUCAUGGCAUACUAUACUACCAUUGUGAUCAUUGAUGGACGUAGUCACGUAGCGGCAGGUGCGCGGUAGCUUUCGAUGAGGGUUGAGGGGCAUGCAUGAAUCUUGAUUUGACCGUCAACAACAUGCUAUAACUUUAUUGACACCAUUUAAAAAUUAUAGGGAAAAAAUGAUUGCGUAGACAUGUCGGUGCAUUCAUGCAAACCGAGGGUUCGUUUGGCAGGGAUGUAGCUGAAACGGCUCCGACUGUGGCUUCGCUUUUUUGGUAGAGUUGAAACUAUUUUUGAAAAAUGUUUGGCAAAACGGCUUCUUAGGAAUGGAUGUGAGAAGUCAAAUGUCCUAUAUGCCCUUGGCUGUGUGGAUUGUUUGAAUGGAUAAUUUGAGUUUAUUUGAAAUUGAAAAAUAUUUGAAAAAGACUCCUCUCUAUUUUUUCUUCUUUUCCCUUACUACUUUUUUUCUUUCUUUCUUUAUUCUCCCUUAUCCGUUCUCUACUCUGGCUCCCAUCUAUCUGCUUUGGUCAGUCAUCAUCCUCUUUCUCCAUCUUCCCCGCAAGCUGCCGCCCCUCCGUCCCUCCAUCCCAGCCUCGCCAUGCUGCUUCCCAUGUUGCUGCUCCACCUCGCUGUGCCGCUUCCCCAUGCUGUGCUGCACGCUCCUGCCAUUGCUCCCCUGCCCAAGCGCGCAGGGCCACGGCUAAGGCAUGAAUGGCAGGCGGCGUGCUCCCGCCAGCGGGUCGACGGUGGCGAGUGGCGUGCUCGCGCCGACGGGUCGGUUGUUGCGGGCGGCACGCCCGCUCUAGCCAUGGAAGGUGCAGCUGGCCUCAAUCAUCGGCAAGCCUAAAGCCUUCAACCUCUAGGUACAACACGAUUUUGGAUGCAAUUUCAGCUGUGAUUUGCACCAAGUUCAUGGGCAAUUUGGUAACAGCAGGUGUGGGGAGGGGGAGGAGUUGUGGGGAGCUAGUUUUUCUGCUCAAGAGAGCUAGUAUUGCGGGGCUUCUUUGGUGGAACUGUUUGGCUGGGCUUCACCGGAAGCUGGUGGUGAAGCCAACAAGGGAGCCCUGUCAAAGAGGGCCUAACUUCCCAUGUCCUUUCGUCAAUAUAUAUGUCCAUUACGUUUGGUUCGGUACUAAUGCGCGAAAUAAGUACCGGGUCCAAAUUAUCAGUCCUCGAAGGACUUUUAGUAUCGGGUCAAAACGUCACCUGGUACUAAAUGUCACCCUUUAGUACAUGUUGGUAUUAUGACUCGGUACUAAUACUCCUGGACCAUUUUAGUACCGGACAAUAACACCAACCGGUACUAAAACCGGUACUAAAUGGUACUCCAUGCGAUACUGGUGUUAUUGCCUGGUACUAAAUAAUACUUCACGGGAUACUUCAAAAGAAAAGCAUAUCUAACUCCAUGACAUGUGUUAUGUAGGUAAAGUGGUUCGAAGGUUCGUGCGAGAUUUGAGGUCAUGAGUUCGAAUCCCACAGACAGCGCACACGCAUAUUACGGGGCCUCCUAGCUGUUCGUGAAUUUUUUCAUUAUUUUUUGGACACAAAUGUUGCAUUUAAUACUGGGUAUUUUGGUCGGUACUAAAUGACAUGACAUUUAGUACCGAAGAAGUGAUACUAGUGGCGCUGGUACUAAAGGGUUCCGACCGAUAAUAGCUGGAAGUCAAUCCUCCAGUAGUGUUCAAUGAUUUACACAUGGUAGUAUGGGAAGUAGCUAGCUACUGGCCACAGCUUACGUGUCUACAUGAGCAGACGAUUAAUGUACAGAAAAGCUGCUAGAAAUAUUGACACGUAAAUAUUGAUUUAUAGCUAAUCUGCUCGUCCAUAACAUGCAGUCGGGAGGACCCAGCUGGGGUGUACUCCUGGGAAGACUGGACGGCAGAACGUCAGACUUCAACGGCUCCCAGGACCUGCCGGCGCCCUUCGAAAAUCUCACCACGCUCCAGAGUAAGUUCCAAGCCGUCGGCCUUAACGACGUCGACCUCGUCGCCCUCUCAGGUACGCGCGUGAACAAUAGUUGGCAUAUAUUCUACGUCGAAUUUUCUAAAUGUAUAGAUAGAAAAUUCUAUGUACAUAGUAAAGUCUAUGUACCUAGAAAAACUCAGACAACCUACAUUUUAUACUACAUUUUGUAAAGGAGCAUCACACUAUUGCUCUGACCAACGUUAACGCCCCAUCUGUUUCUCUUGAAUGCAUGUGACCCACACAGGGGCUCACACGUUUGGCAGGGU
rnacentral:lncRNA from 1 species